rnacentral:rRNA from 1 species
CAGUCGCCGCGGGAAUACAGAGGGUGCGAGCGUUAAUCGGAUUUACUGGGCGUAAAGCGUGCGUAGGCGGCUAAUUGAGUCGGAUGUGAAAUCCCCGAGCUUAACUUGGGAAUUGCAUUCGAUACUGGUUAGCUAGAGUGUGGGAGAGGAUGGUAGAAUUCCAGGUGUAGCGGUGAAAUGCGUAGAGAUCUGGAGGAAUACCGAUGGCGAAGGCAGCCAUCUGGCCUAACACUGACGCUGAGGUACGAAAGCAUGGGGAGCAAACAGGAUUAGAUACCCCAGUAGUCCCUGUCUCUUAUAC